GCUCAUCUCAUUCUCUCUUCCCAGGCGAUAAGGCUCAAGUGGGUCAACAAAAAAAGGAAGGAAAGACCAAACGAUAAGGCUGGAGGCUUAUCUAGAAAGGUCCCUAGCGCCCUGCGACGACGCUUGGAUCACAACGUUGUUGGACGAAUGCGCAUCUACCUUCGCAGUUAUCUGGAAUUUGGAGUUACAGUCCACGUUCGCAUGAAUUGGAACUUUCAACUGCCAAAACAUACAAUUAUCUGGAUUUUGGAGUUAUAGUCCACGUUCUAAAAAAUUGGAACUUUCAACUGCCAAAACAUACAAGUAAGUACUAUAUCGAUUCUUAAUAACAACUGCCAUUUCUCCAGAGGUAAAUCAGACACACUGUGUUUGUUACUCCAGUUUUUUUGGCGAACUAUUUAAAUGCACAUAUUUCUACACUAAUACAUUGAUUUACACGGCAACAGAAUAGUCCUCAAACUGAAGACAAUCUUCAAAAUGAAGACCAGAACAUACUGGCUUUUGAAUCACCACCAAAAAGGUACUAAACUAAAAUGGAUAGAAAGAUGAUCUAUUGACAUCUCAAAUUCAUCAUUCUACAUUUCUUUUUUGGACCAGGGCUAGGCGUAUGUAACACCCGGUUUUAAGGGACAAAGCCGGGUGCAUCUCAUACAUGCGCCAAA